AGAGUUUGAUCCUGGCUCAGAAUCAACGCUGGCGGCGUGCCUAACACAUGCAAGUCGAACGAGAAAGCGGGGGCAACUCCGUGAGUAUAGUGGCGAACGGGUGAGUAACACGUAGCUAACCUACCCUCGAGUGGGGGAUAACCUGGGGAAACCUGGGCUAAUACCGCAUAACAUCCCGAUGACUUAAGUCAAUGGGAGCAAAGGCCCGCAAAGGUCGCUUGUGGAGGGGGCUGCGGCCGAUUAGCUAGUUGGUAGGGUAACGGCCUACCAAGGCGAUGAUCGGUAGCCGGCCUGAGAGGGCGCACGGUCACACUGGCACUGAAACACGGGCCAGACUCCUACGGGAGGCAGCAGUGGGGAAUUUUGCACAAUGCCCGAAAGGGUGAUGCAGCAACGCUGCGUGAGGGAUGAAGGCCUUCGGGUCGUAAACCUCUUUCGAUCGGGAAAAACGGCCCUGUGAAGAGCGGGGUCUGAUGGUACCGGUGGAAGAAGCCCCGGCUAACUACGUGCCAGCAGCCGCGGUAAUACGUAGGGGGCGAGCGUUGUUCGGAAUUACUGGGCGUAAAGGGCGUGUAGGCGGUGCGGUAAGUUGGGCGUGAAAUCCCCGGGCUUAACCCGGGGGGGCCGUUCAAAACUGCCGUGCUAGGGUAUGGGAGAGGGUAGCGGAAUUCCCGGUGUAGCCGUGAAAUGCGUANAUAUCGGGANGAACACCUGC
rnacentral:rRNA from 1 species